GUUGCUUCUUAUGGUGAACCCCUUCUAUUAAAAUAGGGGAUGUUCAAGUUUCCGAAGCAUAAAUAAAUUUCUAAGCCAGUAUUAAACAGCAGUGUGCACUAAUUUUUUUGUUGCACUUUGUUACCUGUCUUCUGGUAAAUUU